rnacentral:rRNA from 1 species
CCUACGGGAGGCAGCAGUGGGGAAUUUUGCGCAAUGCUCGUAAGAGUGACGCAGCGACGCCGCGUGAAUGACGAAGGCCUUCGGGUCGUAAAGUUCUUUCGACAGGGAAGAAAAUGCCUAUAAGUAACUGUGUAUGUAUUGACGGUACCUGUAUAAGCAGCCCCGGCUAACUCCGUGCCAGGAGCCGCGGUAAUACGGAGGGGGCGAGCGUUGUACGGAGUGACUGGGCGUAAAGAGCACGUAGGCGGUGUUGUAAGUCAUUAGUCAAAGACUAGAGCUCAACUUUAGUAAGGCUAGUGAUACUAUCAUCCUAGAGUAUCAGAGAGGAAUGCAGAAGUCCUGGUGUAGCGGUGAAAUGCGUAGAUAUCAGGAGGAAUACCGUUAGCGAAGGCAGCAAUCUGGAUGGAAACUGACGCUGAGGUGCGAAAGCGUGGGUAGCAAACAGGAUUAGAUACCCUUGUAGUC